CAAAAGCGUGCACUGAUCUCUGCCACGUUCUGAUACCCCAUGGGAGGGGGCUCUGACCCGGUGUUGCCCCAGCCCGCUGUCUCCCCCGUCCCUGGAACGGCUGUGUCUAGGCACCCUGGAUGAAGCCCAUAGGUUGCAGCAUAUUUGUGGGGAGCAAGAAGAGGAUUCGGGUCACGGCGGGUGCCGUGGCUGCUGGCGAGGCCAGGAGGGCAUGGCAGCGCUGUCUGCGCCCAGUGCGGGCACCCUUUCAUCUGCCAGGCUGAGAAAGAGCAAAUCCCGACAACUGGUCUUGGAAGAAUUACAAUGAAAGUGUAAGAAAAAGCAGCACACUUGACAGUGCUUGCAUGGUUGGAACAUUUUUACAAACUACUUGCAAGCAGUUAUAAUGAUCCGUUUCAGAUAGUUUUUGAACACCGGGAGUGUUGUUUGGCAUGUAUCAUGUUCUGAAAUGACAUUUAGCCUGCCCCUGCAGCAUCUUUCAUUAACUUUAGAUACUACUUUGCCUGUCUUGCAAAAGUGAAAGUCUACCACCUGCUGUCAUCCACCCUCCCUUUUACCAGGCUUUGACCUAGAUUCUCACACUGCAGAGAAGACUCAAGCUGUUUAAAAUGUUAUUCAUCCACCCAAGACACAAGAUUGCCUUUCCUCCCCACAGUUCUGUUUUUCUCCACCAUUUUCCAGCUGCAGAGGUAUUUAGAGCCAUAGAGUCAUGGAAUCAUUUAGGUUGGAAAAGACCUUUAAGAUCAUUGAGUACAACCAUUAAUGCAACACUUGCAAAGUCCACCACUAAACCACAUCCCUAAGUGCGUGUUUGCGCAUAAGAGAUUUUCUUACUGUGUAGCACGAUGGACAGACCUUGACCAUUUCCCUGGGGAGCCUGUUCCAGUGACCAACCACCUUCACAGUGAAGAACCUUUUCCUAAUGUCCAGUCUGAACUUCCCCUGAUGAAGUUUCAUUCCAUCCCCUUGUGUCCUAUUGCUGGCCACCAGAGAGAGGAGAUCAGCACCUCACCCUCCACUGCCUGCCUUGAGGAAGUUGUAGAAUUAGAAUGCCUUCAUAAAAAUAGCCAUCUUCUAAUUGCGAGAAAAUACCUGCUGCCCAGUCAGAGUUGUCUAUUACAGUUAGAAUAGUUUUGUUAAAAUAUGUAGUAAUCAACAUUAGAAGACAGCUAAAAUGUAUGCAUUCUUGUAUAAUUUUGGUUAACUAUUUAAAUAUAGAAAUUACCUAUUUGCUAUUAGUCCCACUCAUAACAGUUUCAAAUAUACGUAAUGGUUCAAAUAGCCUCAGAAAUACAUUGCUUUGGGGUUCCCUGCCUGUUCCCUGGCUCUGGCCCGUAGUUCCACACAUACCUCUUGCUUGCAAAGGUUACACUUCCCCUGGGCCAGGUGAGGAGUGGCUGGCAGGAUGACUCCUCAGGCAGGCUACACUGCGGAGAGCCAAGACGUGACCUUGCUCAGAGCUCAUGUCCGUCGUGUGUCCUUAGUGCUGUUCCCCACAGAGGCUGUGAUAGGUUCAGACCCAUGUUUCUCUCCCUCUCCCCAUUCUUCCUGGCCAGCAUGUGCUGAAGUCAAAGGACCCGUGCCCAUGCUCUGAGAAACCCGGGGGAAGAGGAGAGGAGGUGAUGUGACACAGGGGGCUCUGUCUGGUCCGUGUGAGGAGGGCAAAUCAGACUCAGUGCGAAUAUUGUAAAGUUUAACAGGCUCCAAGGGACACGUUAUUGUUCUGCAGUAACUGUUUGGAAUUUGCAUGGUUACAUUAAAGAGAAUAACAAGCAUCUGAUUUCUGAAGGCUUAUGCAAGGUCGUUAAAUAUUCUCUGCACACCUUCACUCGUCAUACUGGGUAUGAAUUCACUGGGGAGGAAAAAUAAAAUCUUACGGUGAAAGGCCUCUGAGAGAAGCAGGCAGUAUGCUGUUGCUAUACAUAAAAUGCUUCACACAUUUUGGAUGUACAUAGAGGCUUUUAAAAGUGAUUGAAAUUGUGCUUCUAAAAAUUACUGAAAUCCUGUAAGACAGCUGUUGUGAUUUGCUACCAGCAACCAUCCCACUGUUACUCUGCAGAAUGGAGAUGCAGCAAUCCAAGUAUCGAUUUUAUUACACAGGGAAAGAUGGUGUAAUGUCACCUAGCCAGGGGUGACAAGGCAAACUGCUUCUCGCAUCAGAGUUCACCAGAGUGUGUAAAAGCAGGGUGGCCAACCUUCAAACGGGUGGCAGGGCAAGCCAGCAACUUUGCUAGAGGUCUUCCCACCCCGUCUGUGCUUUUAACAUGCUGUUCCAUGCUGUUACGCCAUCUUUCUCUGCACUUACGCUGGUCACUAUGUGAGGCACGGGUUGGGGACGUAUGCACCACAUGGUUGUUCCUUUCACAAGCUUUGUGAAAUUCUGGCAGGGAAGCCAUCCAUUAGUCUCUUGCCAGUCACGACCCCUGCCAGUGAGGGCUGGCGUGCAAAGGGCUCCCAGUUCAUGCUCCCAGGGUGCUUCCUGCAGCACAGGAGGGAUGCAGUUACUCAGGUCCAGAGGGGGGUCCCCUUAUGUCUCUCCAGAGGGACACAGUUUUUCCCCCAGCUUGGGACCCUGCACGUGCAUUUAGGCACUGCAAUGAAAGCAAAAGCAGGAAUGAAACCCUCUGCCUGGUCUCUGCUCUUUGGACUUCUUUUUAAGGUACGCCUUCCACUCCCGAGUUACCAAUUUGUUAAAAAUUCUGUUUGGUUGGUUUUCACAUUCACUCUUAAGUUUGCCAUAUGUUAAUCAGUGCCUAACGGUGCUGUUCUUCAGGGUCUGGAUACCUUAAAUGGAUCUAAAAGGUAGGAGAAGUAUUAACUGUUCAGUUUCCAUGGUGUGGAUAACUGGCUAGCUGAAAAGGGUCACAUAGACAUAGUCCAGCUGGCUGGACAAAAAUGCACAUCGCUCUCAGCUUAUCUGAAGUAAAGCAAAAAUACACUGUCCUUGGCUGUUCUUGUUACACAAUAACAGGAAGAUCGCGGUGGGAAAAGAAUGUUACAGGUGGGAACAGGUAACUACAGAAGAGAAACAAGGGGCGGGCUUGGUAUUUAGGUAACCAUUAGGUAACCAAUAAUGAGCUUAACUUUUGUAAUAUGUAUGAGGUAAUUAUAGCAAGGCAUAAAAGGUGACUGUAAGGUACAAUAAACGAAGUCUGCUGAUCACUCAUAUUGAGUGACUGUGUCUUCCCUCCGUCGCAACACCAUGGAAGCCCAGAUUUUUGGUUUUCUCCUCCCAGAUUUGAAAUAUCAUCAACAAGACUUUCCAUAAAUAAAUUCUGAAAGGAAUGAUCCUUUUUUCCUCUUUUUUGUAUGUACUUUGAAACUGGAGCAUAGUGAAUAGGUCUUUGUAGCUAUGAAAAAAUAGAAGAGUGCCGUCAUUCACUGCACAGCACUUGCCACAUUGCUGUUUGCAGAGCAUUGGUGCAGGGCUAACAACUGUGGAGCUUCUGUUGGUAAUAGCUGCAUACUCCUGCAUUUACCCCAUUAUUUUUACUUUCAAAUACUGGAAAUUCAGAGACUAUUAAAAUGGAAUCACCUUCACUAUAGUGUUUUCUUAGUUUUCUUUCAAACCAAAACCACCUGAAGUCAGUAAUAGUACAAACUCUUCAAAUGCAUUUAUUCACGACCAAUGAAAAUACUGUACAGGGGAAGGCAAUGUAUUAACACUUACAUAGAAGAUAACCCUGUUAUACAUAACAUAGAAAUGCCUUUCCCCUUCUCAUGCCAUAGGCAUGCCCCAAGCAGCGCACUGAAGAACCUCCCUCUCCAGUAAACUAUCCAGUUCCGAUGUCACAAAGUGUCAAAAUCACCACAAAUACCCAAUACCUAAACAAAACCCGGCAAAAAAAUCCAACAAUGUUCCAAGUUAACCAAUACCCCAAAUCCAGACUCUGGGUGUCCCCAUAACAGCACAUGGAUUACACAACUGUGCACUAUGAGUUACAGUACAAAUAUCCCAGUGGGACUCGUGCCCACGAUACCAGUAGCUUAACAACACAUUUAAUUCAGAUAUCCCAGUGAGACUCUAACAUGCAAUCUGAUAUGACUUAUUUGUAAGCAACCUCAGUAUUUAUGACCAAUGUCAUUAGCAUCAAAGAUAGCUGUCGUGGAAACUCAACGAGCCAGGGAAUCAAAGGGCCUUCCUGAAAAUACUCCAGUAUGUGCUUGGAGUUGUCACGAUUCCUCUGGUCCAUCAAGAUUCCGGAGGGGUCUCAUCUGGGGUGCCAA